UACGUAGGGGACAAGCGUUGUCCGGAUUUACUGGGCGUAAAGAGCGCGCAGGCGGUCGUUCAAGUCGAGUGUGAAAGCCCCCGGCUCAACUGGGGAGGGUCAUUCGAUACUGAUCGACUCGAAGGCAGGAGAGGGAAGUGGAAUUCCCGGUGUAGUGGUGAAAUGCGUAGAUAUCGGGAGGAACACCAGUGGCGAAGGCGACUUCCUGGCCUGUUAUUGACGCUGAGGCGCGAAAGCUAGGGGAGCAAACGGG
rnacentral:rRNA from 1 species